UACAGAGGGUGCAAGCGUUAAUCGGAAUUACUGGGCGUAAAGCGCGCGUAGGCGGUUGUGUAAGUUGGAGGUGAAAUCCCCGGGCUUAACCUGGGCACUGCCUUCAAAACUGCACGGCUAGAGUAUGGGAGAGGAAGGUAGAAUUCCAGGUGUAGCGGUGAAAUGCGUAGAGAUCUGGAGGAAUACCGAUGGCGAAGGCAGCCUUCUGGCCGAAUACUGACGCUGAGGUGCGAAAGCAUGGGGAG
rnacentral:rRNA from 1 species